rnacentral:rRNA from 1 species
CAGGACGAACGCUGGCGGCGUGCUUACACAUGCAAGUCGAACGGGAGCAUUGGUUUCGACUGAUGGUGAGAGUGGCGCACGGGUGCGUAACACGUAGCUGACCUGCCCUUCGCAGGGGGAUAACUUGCCGAAAGGUGAGCUAAUACCGCGUAAUCUCAUGGGACCUAGCACCCCAUGAGGAAAGCUGAGGCGGCGAAGGAGGGGGCUGCGGCCCAUCAGCUAGUUGGUAGGGUAAGGCCUACCAAGGCGAUGACGGGUAGGGGGCCUGAGAGGGUGACCCCCCACACUGGCACUGAGAUACGGGCCAGACUCCUACGGGAGGCAGCAGUAAGGAAUAUUGCACAAUGGGCGCAAGCCUGAUGCAGCAACGCCGCGUGAAGGAUGAAGGCUUUCGAGUUGUAAACUUCUUUUCUGCGGGAAGAGAACGGACGGUACCGCAGGAACAAGUCUCGGCUAACUACGUGCCAGCAGCCGCGGUAAAACGCAGGAGGCGAGCGUUAUCCGGAUUUACUGGGCGUAAAGCGCACGCAGGCGGUGGCAUCAGUGAUGCGUGAAAGCUCCCGGCUCAACUGGGAGAGGCCGUAUCAUACUGUGUCACUGGAGACAGAUAGAGGCAUACGGAAUUCCGGGUGGAGUGGUGAAAUGCGUAGAGAUCCGGAGGAACACCAGUGGCGAAGGCGGUAUGCUGGGGUCUGAUCUGACGCUGAGGUGCGAAAGCGUGGGGAGCGAACGGGAUUAGAAACCCCGGUAGUCCA